rnacentral:rRNA from 1 species
UCGAGGGCAUGCCUGCCUGGGCAUCAUGCC